AGACCGUGAUGAGGACACAUUCUUAGUAGCUCCUUGAACCUUUCCAAGUUUCAUAUAAGGAUUCCCCAUCCUCUUGUGAAUAUAUAUUAAUUUCAGUCAUUAAUUU
rfam:Helianthus annuus linkage group 3, whole genome shotgun sequence.